rnacentral:rRNA from 1 species
AACGAACGCUGGCGGCAGGCUUAACACAUGCAAGUCGAGCGCGUAGCAAUACGAGCGGCAGACGGGUGAGUAACGCGUGGGAAUCUACCCAUCUCUACGGAAUAACCCAGGGAAACUUGGAUUAAUACCGUAUACGUCCUUUUGGAGAAAGAUUUAUCGGAGAUGGAUGAGCCCGCGUUGGAUUAGCUAGUUGGUGGGGUAAUGGCCUACCAAGGCGACGAUCCAUAGCUGGUCUGAGAGGAUGAUCAGCCACACUGGGACUGAGACACGGCCCAGACUCCUACGGGAGGCAGCAGUGGGGAAUAUUGGACAAUGGGGGCAACCCUGAUCCAGCCAUGCCGCGUGAGUGAUGAAGGCCCUAGGGUUGUAAAGCUCUUUCAC